CGGAGAGUUUGAUCCUGGCUCAGAUUGAACGCUGGCGGCAUGCCUUACACAUGCAAGUCGAACGGCAGCACGGAGCUUGCUCUGGUGGCGAGUGGCGAACGGGUGAGUAAUAUAUCGGAACGUACCCUAGAGUGGGGGAUAACGUAGCGAAAGUUACGCUAAUACCGCAUACGAUCUAAGGAUGAAAGUGGGGGAUCGCAAGACCUCAUGCUCGUGGAGCGGCCGAUAUCUGAUUAGCUAGUUGGUAGGGUAAAAGCCUACCAAGGCAUCGAUCAGUAGCUGGUCUGAGAGGACGACCAGCCACACUGGAACUGAGACACGGUCCAGACUCCUACGGGAGGCAGCAGUGGGGAAUUUUGGACAAUGGGCGAAAGCCUGAUCCAGCAAUGCCGCGUGAGUGAAGAAGGCCUUCGGGUUGUAAAGCUCUUUUGUCAGGGAAGAAACGGUGAGAGCUAAUAUCUCUUGCUAAUGACGGUACCUGAAGAAUAAGCACCGGCUAACUACGUGCCAGCAGCCGCGGUAAUACGUAGGGUGCAAGCGUUAAUCGGAAUUACUGGGCGUAAAGCGUGCGCAGGCGGUUUUGUAAGUCUGAUGUGAAAUCCCCGGGCUCAACCUGGGAAUUGCAUUGGAGAC
rnacentral:rRNA from 1 species